UACGUAGGGCGCAAGCGUUGUCCGGAAUUAUUGGGCGUAAAGGGCGUGCAGGUGGUCUGUUAAGUCUGGCGUGAAAGCUCCUGGCUAAACCGGGAGAGGUCGUUGGAUACUGGCGGACUAGAGGACGGUAGAGGCGUGUGGAAUUCCGGGUGUAGUGGUGAAAUGCGUAGAGAUCCGGAGGAACACCAGUGGCGAAGGCGACACGCUGGGCCGUACCUGACACUGAUACGCGACAGCAUGGGGAGCGAACGGG
rnacentral:rRNA from 1 species